rnacentral:rRNA from 1 species
GACGUAGGGUGCAAGCGUUGUCCGGAUUUACUGGGCGUAAAGAGCGCGUAGGCGGCUCGUUAAGUGAGAAGUGAAAGCUGUGGGCUCCACCCACAAACCGCUUUUCAUACUGGCGAGCUGGAGUGAUGCAGAGGUGGAUAGAAUUCCAGGUGUAGCGGUGAAAUGCGUAGAUAUCUGGAGGAACACCGGUGGCGAAGGCGGCAUCCUGGACCGAGAUUGACGCUGAGGCGCGAAAGCUAGGGGAGCAAACGGG